AUUCCAGCUCCAAUAGCGUAUAUUAAAGUUGUUGCAGUUAAAAAGCUCGUAGUUGGAUUUCGGAAUGGGUCAAUUGGUCCGCCGCAAGGUGAGUUACUGGUUGGUCUGUUCUUCUUCGCAAAGACUGCGUAUGCACUUUAUUGGGUGUGCGUAGGAUUUACGACGUUUACUUUGAAAAAAUUAGAGUGUUCAAAGCAGGCUAUCGCUUGAAUACAUGAGCAUGGAAUAAUGGAAUAGGACUUUGGUCUUAUUUUAUUGGUUUCUAGGACCGAAGUAAUGAUUAAUAGGGACAGUUGGGGGCAUUAGUAUUUAAUUGUCAGAGGUGAAAUUCUUGGAUUAUGAAAGACUAACUACUGCGAAAGCAUUUGCCAAGGAUGUUUUCAUCG
rnacentral:rRNA from 1 species